AACGCUAGCUACAGGCUUAACACAUGCAAGUCGAGGGGAAACGAUAUUGGAAGCUUGCUUCCGAUAGGCGUCGACCGGCGCACGGGUGAGUAACGCGUAUCCAACCUGCCCACCACUUGGGGAUAACCUUGCGAAAGUAAGACUAAUACCCAAUGAUAUCUCUAGAAGACAUCUGAAAGAGAUUAAAGAUUUAUCGGUGAUGGAUGGGGAUGCGUCUGAUUAGCUUGUUGGCGGGGUAACGGCCCACCAAGGCAACGAUUAGUAGGGGUUCUGAGAGGAAGGUCCCCCACAUUGGAACUGAGACACGGUCCAAACUCCUACGGGAGGCAGCAGUGAGGAAUAUUGGUCAAUGGGCGAGAGCCUGAACCAGCCAAGUAGCGUGCAGGAAGACGGCCCUAUGGGUUGUAAACUGCUUUUAUAAGGGAAUAAAGUUAGUCUCGUGAGACUUUUUGCAUGUACCUUAUGAAUAAGGACCGGCUAAUUCCGUGCCAGCAGCCGCGGUAAUACGGAAGGUCCGGGCGUUAUCCGGAUUUAUUGGGUUUAAAGGGAGCGUAGGCCGGAGAUUAAGCGUGUUGUGAAAUGUAGAUGCUCAACAUCUGAACUGCAGCGCGAACUGGUUUCCUUGAGUACGCACAAAGUGGGCGGAAUUCGUGGUGUAGCGGUGAAAUGCUUAGAUAUCACGAAGAACUCUGAUUG
rnacentral:rRNA from 1 species